UACGUAGGGAGCGAGCGUUGUCCGAAGUUACUGGGCGUAAAGCGCGCGUAGGCGGGCUGUUAAGUGAGAGGUGAAAGGCUGGGGCUCAACCCCAUGCAGUGCCUCUCAUACUGGCGGUCUUGAGUGCGGCAGGGAGAAGUGGAAUGGCUGGUGUAGCGGUGAAAUGCGUAGAUAUCAGUCGGAACACCGGUGGCGAAGGCGGCCUGCUGGGCAGUUGCUGACACUGAGGCGCGACAGCGUGGGGAGCAAACAGG
rnacentral:rRNA from 1 species